rnacentral:rRNA from 1 species
GACGAACGCUGGCGGCGUGCUUAACACAUGCAAGUCGAACGGAAGGGCCCUGCUUUUGUGGGGUGCUCGAGUGGCGAACGGGUGAGUAACACGUGAGUAACCUGCCCUUGACUUUGGGAUAACUUCAGGAAACUGGGGCUAAUACCGGAUAGGAGCUCCUGCUGCAUGGUGGGGGUUGGAAAGUUUCGGCGGUUGGGGAUGGACUCGCGGCUUAUCAGCUUGUUGGUGGGGUAGUGGCUUACCAAGGCUUUGACGGGUAGCCGGCCUGAGAGGGUGACCGGCGAAAUUGGGACUGAGAUACGGCCCAGACUGCUACGGGAGGCAGCAGUGGGGAAUAGUGCACAAUGGGCGGAAGCCUGAUGCAGCAACGCCGCGUGCGGGAUGACGGCCUGCGGGUUGUAAACCGCUUUCGCCUGUGACGAAGCGUGAGUGACGGUAAUGGGUAAAGAAGCACCGGCUAACUACGUG